rnacentral:rRNA from 1 species
CCUACGGGGGGCUGCAGUGGGGAAUAUUGCACAAUGGGCGAAAGCCUGAUGCAGCAACGCCGCGUGCGGGAUGAAGGCCUUCGGGUUGUAAACCGCUUUCACCAGGGACGAAUGUGACGGUACCUGGAGAAGAAGCACCGGCUAACUACGUGCCAGCAGCCGCGGUGAUACGGAGGGUGCGAGCGUUGUCCGGAUUUAUUGGGCGUAAAGAGCUCGUAGGCGGUUUGUUGCGUCGGAAGUGAAAACCCAGGGCUUACCUUUGGGCUUGCUUUCGAUACGGGCAGACUUGAGGAAGGUAGGGGAGAACGGAAUUCCUGGUGGAGCGGUGGAAUGCGCAGAUAUCAGGAGGAACACCGGUGGCGAAGGCGGUUCUCUGGACCUUUCCUGACGCUGAGGAGCGAAAGCGUGGGGAGCAAACAGGCUUAGAUACCCGUGUAGUC